rnacentral:tRNA from 1 species
GCUCUUCUAGUAUAACAAUUACAAUUGACUUCCAAUCUCUAAAUUCUGGACAAAAACCAGAGAAGAGCA